GAGUGGGCAGCAACGAGGAGGAAGUACUGCAGCGCCUCGCCACGUCAGACCCACCGUCUGCAUGCCUGAGGGAAUUUUGAAGGAAUGUAGGCUAUGCUCGUCCUCUCUCUACCCCGGGUCGAGGAAAGACGAGGACAGCGAUCAUGAAUGCAAGAAACCCGUUUUCCCUCAUGGUCUCCAAGGUUGCUGUUCUUGGGGAGGAGAUGGAUGAUGAUAGGGAGGAAGGACUUGUUCUAGAUAUUCUACCCAGUCUGCUCCACCAAGCACGGGGACAUCUGGGAAUGCGGUGUUACAGAUCACCACUUCCCAUUAGCCUACAGUCUAGAGUGGGCAACAGCGGGAGGAGUAAGUACUGCAGUGCCUCGCCACGUCAGACCCACCGUCUGCAUGGCUGAGGGAUCUUUUAGGAGUGUAGGCCAUGCUCGUCGUCCUCUCUCUACCCCGGGUCAAGGAAAGGCGAGGACAGCGAUCAUGAAUGCAAGAUGUGGUGUGAUCUUUACAUGAACUGGAGUUAGGAGGAUCAAGAGGGCCUAGUGAGGCAGGCAUCUUCUCAGGAACAUGGAGAUACAAGUACAGGUGUUCAGCAUCAUUAGUCCGUGGAAUUUGCUGCACUGUGAACUUGAAAUCCACCUACAGCUACUUGCCAGUGUCCAAUCAAGUGCAGAGUGAGUUUCAGGGUUACAUACAUGACAAAGGAAGAAAAUGGAGAUUUAGGUACUUUAUUGAACUAAUAUCUAACAGAGUCCUACACCUCAAUAUCAACAUAGUCACUGCUGUCAUUAUCAGUAUCCACACAGUGUGUAUCUUGUGUAAAACUGUGACAACAAUUCUUGUACACAGUUGUAAAGAGUGAUGUGCACUUAAUGUGUGUUAGAGUGGGUUUACUUCCCAUAAUUUUGAGAUGAUGGAGUUAUGUGUUCCUGACAUUGUGCUACAUCCAUGUGUUGCCAGAC